UACGUAGGUCCCGAGCGUUGUCCGGAUUUAUUGGGCGUAAAGCGAGCGCAGGUGGUUUAUUAAGUCUGGUGUAAAAGGCAGUGGCUCAACCAUUGUAUGCAUUGGAAACUGGUAGACUUGAGUGCAGGAGAGGAGAGUGGAAUUCCAUGUGUAGCGGUGAAAUGCGUAGAUAUAUGGAGGAACACCGGUGGCGAAAGCGGCUCUCUGGCCUGUAACUGACGCUGAAGCACGAAGGCGUGGGUAUCGAACAGG
rnacentral:rRNA from 1 species